rnacentral:rRNA from 1 species
CGAUACUUGGUGUGAAUUGCAGAAUUCAGUGAAUCAUCGAAUCUUUGAACGCACAUUGCGCCCAUUAGUAUUCUAGUGGGCAUGCCUAUUCGAGCGUCAUUUCAACCCUUACGCCCUGUAGCGUAGUGUUGGGAAUCUACCGGUAGGUAGUUCCUCAAAUCGAUUGGCGGAGUUAGCACAUACUCUAGGCGUAGUAAUACCAUUCUCGCUUCGGUAGUAGUGCUAGCGGCUAGCCACUAAACCCCCUAUACUUCUAGUGGUUGACCUCGGAUUUAGGUUAGGAGUACCCGCUGAACUUAAGCAUAUCAAUAAGCGGAGGAA